GGGUUUAGUUCAAUGGCAGAGCAACGGUCUCCAAAACCGUUAAUGGGAGUUCGAAUCUCUCAACC
rnacentral:tRNA from 1 species